CAUUAUUCGGCUCCAUUGUAGCAGAUGCCGAUCGAAGUGUUGUAUCUGUUCUUAUCAGCUUAAUAUCUGAUGGGGAUCCUAUUUCGAUCCAAGAUAUUAAACUUAUUUUUGUAAUGCGGCGGAGUGCUUGAAGCUUGCUUGACCUCCGCCACGGGUUGGCCCAGGUAUUGCACUACCUCCGGAAUCGGCCCACUCACG